UGAAAACGUACGUUCAAAAAAACCAUUUUUUCUAAAUUUUUUAAUUUGUCUUGUAAAUAAAAUAUAAAUUCGUUAGUUACUCUUAUUGCAAUAUAAUUAGAAAUCAUUUUACACAGUUGAAAUUUCGGUUAUUGUUCGUACAGCUUUGCAACAGGAUAAAAAUUAUGAUUACCUACAAACACAAAGUAGCAGUCAAUAACAUUUUAGAUGGUUCCCCUCGAAUUACAUUCAUCUCAAAGACAAUGGCUGAAAACUUACUCAGUCGACGCACAAAUUGUAUCAACGAUGUCUUUCAGAAGCUUGACGCAACAAAGGAAUCAAAUCCAAGAUCAAUUUUACUAGUUUUGUGUAGGUGUAUAAUAAAUUGUUGGAGAAGUCUGUAUUAGACAUGAUGAAUUAUAAGUACCAUGAAAACUGGUCUUCUUGUAGGUUGAUGCUGCGUAACAAGGUACGAUACGGUCCCUAAAUUAUGUGUGUGAAUAAAAAGAAAUGCUUCGGGUGCCAAGUCAGAACGGCGGCAUAUGGUGCAGCGUUGCUCCCCAAGAUUCUCUGCCAUUCUACACAAUGCUGACCUUAGUAAGAAAAUUUGUUAUUAUAGGUACACAUUAGCUAUUUUUAUAUUACUACUCUCAACUAUGUCCAAUCAUGCAUUUUUUAGCCUUACCAAAUUUAAUUUUCAAUAAUUGUUUGAUUUUGUUUCAAAUACUAUAAAAAUUGUUUUUCUCGUAGGUUGAUGCGACAUAUGGCACGAUAUGGUUCCUAAGACAAAAAAAUUAAGAUGCGUCAGGCAUCAAGUGAGAGCGACGGCACUGCGUUGCAGUGGACUCCAACCUUAAUAAAUCGACAGCGGUUAAAUAAGACAAUCCGAGUUUUGAAGAUGAAAUUCCGAAAGAAUAUAUAGUAGUGCAGUGAUUGUGUCAUCAAGUCAGUACCGUAAAUGUAUAAAUAAUUUAAUAGGUAUUCAAAACAAGAUAUAAUGUUAUUGCCGAUUGAUGUAUUUGCCAAUUUUGUUUGAAUAUUUACGGCAUUGUGAUAAGACAAUACAACACCAAAACUGUUCAGCUAAAUCUGCAAAUUCGUUGGGACAGUACUCUUUGAAGAUGAAAAAAACUACCAAGUCGCCGAUUCGAUUACGAUAAUAUAUUUUAUUUCGAUAGUUUACUAUACUAUAUAAUACACACAUAGUAAUUAAUAGUUUAAACUAACAAUAUGAAUUGUGUUAAAUGUAAAAUUGAUGAUGUUACCAAAAAAUUAAUUUAGGAAAACGAAAUAAGCUUGUGUUUUUUCAGUAACAUUAUCGAUUGCCGAACAAAAGUAUGUUCACUAUAAACUGAAUGCAUUUUUAAACACAGUUUUACUUUUCAUCAUAACUAUUAUAAUAUUAAUUUUGGGGAGCCUUAGAAAAAAAAAAAAUAAGUACUUUCUAGUCUGGGAUCAUUAUGCAUUCGCUGUCUAUUUGUUUUUUUAACUCGUUCUUUAUCUUCAACAACGCACUCAUUAAGCCUUCUUGUUUGGACUUCAUUUGUCGAAUGGUUUCCAACCAUUCCAUAUCUUUUUCGAUGUUUGUUCGUUCCUCUUCGAUUUUUUGUAAAGCCUUUCUGGCCAACGGACUAUUUAUUGGUUUUUUCUUCCAGUCCGUUUGCUCAAAGUCGAACGUGUACCGUUUAACAGCACCGAGAGCCGUCGUUUGUUUCGUAUCGUUUGUAUCUUCUCGUGGCUUCUCCGCUGUCGAUGAUGUACUUGGGGGAUUCAGAACAUGAUCGGGUAUUACGAUAUGGUCGGGUAAAAACGGCAAAAGCCGUUGUAUAUACGACGACAUUUAUUUUGCGACUGCUUGAACGAUAACAGUUACGACCGGAUCUGAUCUGUGAAAACAACACCCCGGUGUUAAACAUCAUUUCGGACAAGUCAAACGUUAUUAAAAUAAUUUACAAUAAUUGUAUACUCAUAACUAGUGUAUAGUUUUGUUAGAACAGAAUCCUACUGUAAUUACUUUUAUAUUAUCUAUUUUGAUUUUUUAAUUGUAUCAAAAUCGUUGCAAAGCUUGUUGUUAGUUGAUAAAAAAAAACAAUUGUAAUCACGUUAAAAUCAUAUUUAGUCGGUCGUCAAAGUUUGCUCGAAACAGAUAAACUCAUAAAAUGAAUUUUUUAUUAGACGGCCUAAAACUAAUGUCAUUAACCAUCUGGAUAUUAUUUAAAACCAUUUUUAGUUACUUCUUAAACGACAUUUAUAAAUAUUAUAUUAAUAACAUUUUAAUGUAUUUUAGAAAAUGUUUGUUUUAAAAAAAAUUAUUUAUAAUAAACAAUGCGAUGGCUAUUGUUGUAUAAAAGGUUUUGCACUUAAAAUAUAUUUUGUUGCAAUUUUAUUUUACAACUAACUAUUUUAGUAUUAAAAGUAAAAUUAUAGUUAACUAAUUUCAAACUAAGUGUAUUACAUUUUAAGAAUUAUGACUUAGACGAAAAUGUAAAAAAAUGCAGUCCACAAAAGUAGUUUUUACAAAAACCACUACUUUUUUUUAUUAAUUUAAUUUAACAUUUGUUACAAAUGACUGGAAUAGCUUUAACAUUGUUCGACUUUUUCCACUUAAAACUAGUCGAGUAAUACAUUUUUCUUUUUGCUCUCACUAACGACAAAUAUUUGUAUCAUUUUUAAUAUCAUAUCUUAUUUUAAA